CCCCGCAACCAGAUUCUAAAAGAAAGGCAUUCGUUCUUGCGAAUGCCUUUUUUCUUCUCUUUAUAAACUAAACCUAA
rnacentral:tRNA from 1 species